rnacentral:rRNA from 1 species
GACGAACGCUGGCGGCGUGCCUAAUACAUGCCAGUUGAGCGCUGAAGGUUGGUACUUGUACCAACUGGAUGAGCAGCGAACGGGUGAGUAACGCGUGGGGAAUCUGCCUUUGGGCGGGGGACAACAUUUGGAAACGAAUGCUAAUACCGCAUAAAAACUUUAAACACAAGUUUUAAGUUUGAAAGAUGCAAUUGCAUCACUCAAAGAUGAUCCCGCGUUGUAUUAGCUAGUUGGUGAGGUAAAGGCUCACCAAGGCGAUGAUACAUAGCCGACCUGAGAGGGUGAUCGGCCACAUUGGGACUGAGACACGGCCCAAACUCCUACGGGAGGCAGCAGUAGGGAAUCUUCGGCAAUGGACGAAAGUCUGACCGAGCAACGCCGCGUGAGUGAAGAAGGUUUUCGGAUCGUAAAACUCUGUUGGUAGAGAAGAACGUUGGUGAGAGUGGAAAGCUCAUCAAGUGACGGUAACUACCCAGAAAGGGACGGCUAACUACGUG